rnacentral:rRNA from 1 species
GACGAACGCUGGCGGCGUGCCUAACACAUGCCAGUCGAACGGAAAGGCCCUGCUUUGGUGGGGUGGUCGAGGGGCGAACGGGUGAGUAACACGUGGGUAACCUGUACCUGACUUUGGGAGAACUUCAUGAAACUGGGGCUAAUACCGGAUAGGAGCUCCUGCUGCAUGGUGGGGGUUGGUAAGUUUCGGCGGUUGGGGAUGGACGCGCGGUGUAUCAGCUGGUUGGUAGGGUAGUAGCCUAGCAUGGUUAGGACGGGUAGCCGGCGUGAGAGGCUGACCAGAUAGAGUGGGAGUGAGACACGGCCCAGACUCCUACGGGAGGCAGGAGUGGGGUAUAGCGGACGAUGGACGAAAGCCUGAGCAAGCCAUGCGGCGGGAGUGAUGAAUUCGGGAGGGAUGCAAAGCUCUCUUACCCGGGAUGGUAAUGACAGUAACGGGAUAAAAAGCUACGGCUAACUUCGUG